rnacentral:rRNA from 1 species
GACGAACGCUGGCGGCGUGCCUAAUACAUGCAAGUAGAACGCUGAAGGAGGAGCUUACUUCUCUGGAUGAGUUGCGAACGGGUGAGUAACGCGUAGGUAACCUGCCUGGUAGCGGGGGAUAACUAUUGGAAACGAUAGCUAAUACCGCAUAAGAGUAGAUGUUGCAUGACAUUUGCUUAAAAGGUGCAAUUGCAUCACUACCAGAUGGACCUGCGUUGUAUUAGCUAGUUGGUGAGGUAACGGCUCACCAAGGCAACGAUACAUAGCCGACCUGAGAGGGUGAUCGGCCACACUGGGACUGAGACACGGCCCAGACUCCUACGGGAGGCAGCAGUAGGGAAUCUUCGGCAAUGGACGGAAGUCUGACCGAGCAACGCCGCGUGAGUGAAGAAGGUUUUCGGAUCGUAAAGCUCUGUUGUAAGAGAAGAACGAGUGUGAGAGUGGAAAGUUCACACUGUGACG